rnacentral:rRNA from 1 species
AGCAGUAGCCACGGGAAUACGAAGGGGGCUAGCGUUGCUCGGAAUGACUGGGCGUAAAGGGCGCGUAGGCGGUUUAUACAGUCAGAUGUGAAAUUCCUGGGCUCAACCUGGGGACUGCAUUUGAUACGUAUGGACUUGAGUGGAGAAGAGGGUCGUGGAAUUUCCAGUGUAGAGGUGAAAUUCGUAGAUAUUGGAAAGAACACCGGUGGCGAAGGCGGCGACCUGGUCUUUAACUGACGCUGAGGCGCGAAAGCGUGGGGAGCAAACAGGAUUAGAUACCCCCGUAGUCCCUGUCUCUUAUAC